AGAUCUUUGGUGAUUAUUAGGAAUUUCAGUGGCAGGCAAAGGUUCAUCAGAUCGAAACAAGUGUAGGAAACAAUAUCCAGGGGUUGUGUUCUCAUCCUGUACCAUGAGGUGAAAAUACAUCCAUCAUCUGUGAACUUUCAAGUGAGAUUUUACGAGAGUCCAUAUUUGGUGUAUCAUGAGAAAGUAAAAACUACAAGGAUAUAUAUCAGGGACAGUACUAUGGUAUCAGUGUACCCCCUGUUAUUGUUUGGUGGUGGAGAGAUAGGGGUGGACCUAUCACGAGGGAACUUUAUACUUUCUGUGGAUGAUGGCUGGACCAAGUUUAUGGCUCAAUCUCAUCAGAUAGCUGAGUUAGUGAGAGAGUUAAGACUGGAACUGGAUCAUUUGUUAGAAGAUAGAAUUAAGACGCCACAUAUGGACCUGUGUACCUGUCCCAGGGGCAGUAAAAUUAUAGACACUAUAGUUAAACUUAUUACUACUCAAUAGGUGCUAAAUAAAAUAAAUAUAUAAUGGUGUAAAGUCUUCCAGGAGUUUGUUUUGAUAUUCAAAAGAAUUGUAUACUGCUUAAAGCAUUGUGCCUCAAGAUUCCUAUCAAUUUCUAGGAAAAGAUAGUAUUUGUUCUUAGCGGAAGAAUUAUUGUGAAGCCUGAUAAUUAGGGGGAUUUAGGUCAGUAUAAGGCACAAACUACUGUGAAAGUAGAUAUUAAGCUAAUAUAUGACAAGGUCAAAAUAAUAAAAAAAAAUUACUAUUUGACGAGGUCAAAUAUUCGUGAUUUUCUACUCUCUGCUUGUAAUACUUAUGUGUUUAGCAAC